GGUGGAGUCACUCACUGCGCGGCGCCGGAGGGGCAGCAGCCGCCGGGGCUGUUGCCAUGUCGGCGGCGUUCCCUCGCUCCGCCCGCGGCUCGGGGGGGCCGGCAGGUCCCGGCAGCUGGAGCGAGACAGAAACGAAGGGGAGAACGCAUGAGUGAGGGGAGGAGGAACGGGACGAAGCGCGACCUCAGCAGGGCAGCCGCCGGCGGUACGACCCCCGACCCUAAAGGGGAGGGGGGAAAGCACGAGUGCGCAUGCGCGGUGUCGCGCUCUACGCCGUGUGCGCAUGCGCGAUGGGCGUUGUGCUCACCCGCCCGCCCGCUGAGGAGCGUGUGGGUCGGGAGGUCUUCAGGCGUUGUGCCCGUUCCGUUCUGUCCCAGGUGUCGUCGCUAGUCUGUCAGCCCAGCUAAGGAGCUUCCCUGUGCUUGCCCCACUGAUGCCUUUAGUAGGCCACAACCCCGGAACUCAGUGAAGUUAGCAAACACAGCCAUGCGUUUGUCUGCUUACAGCCCUAAGGCAUCUUCCUUUACGGCUUACCUCCUCACACCAGUUGCUUCUGCCCAUGGAGGAGAGUUUUGUCCCUCCUGCCAUACUGAUGGAGUUCUGAGCUCAAACAUGAUCGCUUCUAAAGUAGUUCUACAGAUGAGAAAGCGGGACAACUAUUCUAACCUACUUGAGGCUAAAUAAGUUUAACUAGUGGUUGGAAGAUCAUGUAACCAACUAACAUACAUAUUUUUAACUAGUUCUAUUUUAUAUUGAUGCAGUUCACAUCAUUGUGGUAUCUCAUAGCAGUGUGUUUGUGCAGCAAUAAAGAAUAACUGCAAACCUGCAUUAGCUACAAUAGUACUGAUUGUAUGGAUCUGUGGAUUACAAGAGCCUAACAGACACUGCUGAGUUAUUAAUUACUCUUUUCUUAUGUAUACAAAUAAGUGCCUAUCGCUCAGUGAAAGCUCAUACAAUCAUUCGGGCUGGAAGGGACCUUGAAAAGCUAUCUAGUCCAAGUGAAUGGGGACACCUACAGUGUUUGAAACCAUUUUCCCUUGUACUACCACAGCAUGCCUUUACUCAGUGCUACUAUUGCUUCACCUCAGCUCCAUUUGUUCCCCACAGAAAGCUUGUACCAACAACACUGAUCUACCACCCAACAGCAUAAUUUAGUCUGUACUUUAAAAAUCCUGUGGAAUAACUCACAGGAAUAAAACACAGGAAGCUUUUCCACACCCUGCUGCACUUGCUUUAGUAAGAGUGCUGAGGCCUGCACAAAUUAUCCUAUCUUACCAUCCAUUCUUUGUAUUGGAUAUGUAAGCUCAUGCAUACUUUCCUCAAAGACUGCAUCCAACCCAGGCAGGGACUCUGUAACUUGGAAAAUGCAUAGUAUAGAGACAGAACAGGCAGAGGAGAAGGACUGUGUUAUCUUCCACCUAGGCGUAGUCCCUACUCUCCCCAAAGGAUUUUCAGGUUGCUAAACAGCGCCUUCAGAUUGCACAGGGAACUGAACUUGCCCUAAGAAAGUGGUUUUGUUAGGUAAGUGGGACGCUCCCAAACCACCUCUGCCUUCACCUUAGCACCAUUUACCCCAGCACCUUGCACAAGUGCUAAGCAUGAUGUCUAAGCAUGAUGUGCCUGCGAACUGCAGUGUUUCCUGGCUGCGUGCAGACCUAUUUAAUCAGAUAACAGCUUUGUGGCACAAAAAUUAUAACACCGCAAGAAGCUGCAGCAUUUGUGUUGCUCAGCUCAUAAACUUCUUUUUCAUAUCAAACUUUUAUGUAUCACAUUUAAACAGUCUCCUAAAGGCACAUGAAAAUGGAGAAUGCUGGCAACAAACCAGAAGGGCCUUAUGGCCACUUUCUUUAACAAUUCUUUAUCAUUUCUUGAAAUUAAGUAUGAGAGCAGGCACUAAAAAAGAAGUAGUAAACAACUGAAAGCAAGUACACUAAAGCUCUCCAUUAGCUCAGAGGCUGUCUGUUUCCAAAGCAGUAAAACCCCAAAACAAACACAAGUUUCUCUAACUCCUCUUCACAAAAUGAGUUACAUCAGAGAUAUGUGGAAUGCCACGCUGAGGGUUUUGGAUUCCUCAAUCUGUCUCACCCAUGAAAACAUGCAGAGCACUGUGAUAUUUAGACAGGUCUGAAGGAAAAUAGCUGUUUCCUACCUGGGUUUUCUGAUGCAGCAGCUGUGGGACUGCCGGCAGCCAAGCACAGCAGCCUCCCCUAGCAACAGGCUGCUCUGCUUUUUAAAGAGAAAGGCUCAGAUUCUGCUCCUUCCGCCACUAAAGCCAUUCUGGAAGACUUAUUUUAUUUUGUAGACAAUUUAUUUUACAGUAAGAGGGAAAGAGAAAGCUAUAAGAAAAUACAGGGAAGAUGAAGAAGUGAUUGCAGCUCCUGCCGACAGCACCUUAUCCCAAUCUUUGCAUACUUGGAGUGGCAGAAAUCUGUCAGUGCUAUCAGACAGCUUGUAGAAAUGUGGAUUGUCUUACAUAUGGUUCCUAAUUCUUAGAGGUACAAAGCAAUUAAUAGUAUUCCUAAAAAAUCUGGAACAAUCUUUUCUGCUGAGCCGGGUUGUUAAGAAGUAAUUCCUUACAAUAACAUUUGCAUCAGUAUCUUUAUAACAACCGGAAUAAACAACACUGUGGGUACUGAAUGGAGUUGUUACUAGACCCGUUUAUAGUUGUGCCUGUACAAUCAGCCCCUGUAACUUCUGAAGGUCUGUUACUGCAAAGCUUUAGUAGCUGGAAUCACAUGAAAAGAGAUGGCUGAAUUGUUUCCUGUUUCUGAACGCUGUUGUAAAAAGUCGUGGGAAGAAGUAAACAGUCACAGGAGACAAAAAAACAGCAGUAUGGACAUUUAGUUAAAUUACGCUGAACUGUCACAGCUAGAAAGAGCUGGCGUGACAAUGUUUUUCAAGAAUGGAAAUGUCAGGUUUUUGAAGGUGAUGUGUCCAGUACACAAUUUCUGACAUCUACUAAGUCUCACUGUAUCUGAGCCUAUGGAAGUCAUCCAGUGGGUGAACCUUCGUACAGGCUUUUGGCAACGAUUCAGGUUAAACAUCUUGUUUUGCUAAUAAGCCUGUGUCCCAGCUAUCUAUUCCAGUCUCAGAAACAGUUGUGCAAACAGUUUAAAUGAUGCACAAAUAUGAACAGCAUUAUGUAAGGAACAUUAAUGUAGUACCCUGAAGGAACAGUGGGAACCUUUGCUUACCAGGAUGAAAAGCUACUUAAAAACAUAUGUCAGGAUGGACACGACUCCACUCCCAGAAAUAAGACUGAGUUUAAGCCAUAUGUGGUUCCUGGAGGAGAGAAAAACACAUUUAUCUCGGUUAGCGUCGUAAAAAGAAGGAAGCCCAGUGUCUUUGAUUGCACUGUGCAGCAGAUGCAGUGCUCCAAGUGAGAUAAUGUGAGAAGCUUCGCUUUGUUAGGUGCAGCACUGUCACUGAUGUUUUGCCAAGGAAAGCCAAGCACGGCCUUUGGAGCAGACAGAACCUGUGGGAGCUUGUAGAGAGCUGCUGCUCAGGGAGAGGUUGUGCUGGCUGCCCCAGUGAGGCAGGCCACAGGGUGAUCUUACAAAAUAAGACUAUAUGCUGCUGUAUUAUUAAAAUAGCGGUUUGGGCUACUAUAGGCAGCUCUGCAGUCAUCUCAACUUCAGAGAGGUUACAAAGAAAGGAGAACAAACUCUGUUCAGCGUGAUUGUUUUAAACUGAUUGCACCUCACUCCAGCAUGACCGAAUUCACAAAUAAAAUUCCUUGAAAUUUGUCACACGUGGAGGAAAAAUCAGUGUUCACUUCUCAGACCAUGUGCCAGAAGAUGCAGGUGGUGUGGAAAGGAGGAAAGCCUGCUGCUUUGGCGGCAGCAGCAGCGGUAGACAAGUUUUCAGAUGAUUAAAGAGGUUGUUUUUCAACUCAAAGUUUAAAUCCUUUCCACCGUCUUCCAAACUUAAGAAUAACACUUGUUUGAAAGUAAAGAACGAAAAGAGAAUGCUGGCAAAUGGUUUUUUUUAUAUACAGUUCACUCAGUUCUAGAAAUCUCAUCUGCGUCUUGCUAAGAGUUCACUUUUGGAGCCUCUUGAGAAACACAAUUAUUUUGUUUUUCAGUAAUUCAGCCUUUCUUGCCCCUUUGUUAACAUGAGAAAAGCAAGUCUAUUCUUGCACAGAAACAACUUUAUGAACAUAGUAUUACGUUUUACAUUGUAUGAAAGAUUCUGGCAGGUGCUUUAAAUUUGAAAAGCAACAAUUUUAUUAUUUAUUUGUAAUUCCUUAAUAAUCCUUAGAAAUCCUUAAGUAUGUUGAAUUUGGGGAUAUAAGUGAAGCCCACCUUCACAUAUUGUAGUACCUUUGGGAGGACAGCCAUGUUACUGCAGUUGAAGCUGUCCGAGGAGGAAGUGGAGCAUUACUUCAUGAAAGGUCUGCCAAGAGGUCACUUGCAUCAUUAUAAAGGAAGUAACUUUCAUGAACUGAUCGGAUGUUUGCAACCAGCAUAAAACAAAGCAUCACUGAGAACACUGAGAUUUUCGUCCAAGCGCUUGGAACUUUGUCCAUGUCAGCCUGGGGCCGAAUCAAGCCUCUGAAAUUCAGAAAUACUGACAUAACCUCGAUUUGGAGUGCUGAGUUUAGGAGUGACGUGGCAAAGAACAUAACCUCUAAAUGCUCUGUAAGCUGAAGUCUAAAUGCUUUGUACUGAAAUGAAUAAAUUGCUUCUUGAAAGCAAUGUGUUACUCACUGAGAAAGAUAUACCUACUGAAUGAAACAGCACCAGUGCAGCUGAGCAGGUGAAAUAUCAUCAGCCUCUGUGAUACAUUGCUUUCUCAACUCUAUUUAUCUUCUGUUUGCUCUCCUGUAUUAUUUCUUGGAUGGGAUUCAUCACCCGCUGAAAUACGUGUAUUAAAUAAGCCAUGCUUCCGCAUAAAACUGAAGAUCCUACUGACUAAAUUCCCUGGUAUAUCAUUACAGCUAUACUGAGUAUGUAGUACGUGCCAAUGGAUAAAUUAAACUGAUUACUGAAGAGUGAAUAUUUUGGUAAAUGUGAAACUGUAUUCGGUAAAUAAUAACCUAGCAGGUGACUCAUGGAAGGUAAAUAAAAAUGAACUAUUAUAUGAACUGCACCAACUAUAGAAACACACUCAGUAGGGAACAAAAUAAGGUGCUUUUCAGACUUUUGUAUCUUUGCCAUUGCCAAAAUGCAUAAAUGCUGUUAGGCAGAUUUAUGACGCUUUGAAGAAUGUAGAUAAUACUUUCAAUCCUGAUACGCAUUAGCAGCUUCUUUCUCUGUAUUUUAUGAGCAUAGGAAAAAAUUCUUUAGGACUACUUGUGUUUACUGCAUCUGAAAGAAAUUAUGGCAGCAUAAAUCAUGCAGAUAUGAAAAGCAGUGGUGAGGAAAGUGAAGGUAUUUAUGCAAAGAAAGGGAUGUAAGUUUAAAGAUGAAGUUUUCAGUGUGAUUAUAAUGUUUAAUUAGUUGUCUAGGUUAAAAGUGCUUAUCAACAUCCUCUUUGGCACUCUACCACGUAUGAAGGAAGCUUGAGAGAUGAAAAGAUUGUGGGGGCUAUUUUGUUUCAAACAACUUUAUUUUUAUUUAUGUAUAUCUCCAUACAUAUAUCCCAAGUAAAUAUAUGUGGGGUUUUUUUGUUUGUUUUUUUGUUAAUCUCAGAAAUCUCAGGAACACUGAGAUUAAAGCUUCUCGAUGGUAUCAGGUUUGUAUCAGUUCUUGCAUCCUCCUUCAGAAAGCCUAAGAGAUUGUGCUACAGCAAAAACAUGCUUUCUCCUGGGAGUUUCUCCUGGUGAUACUAUUUUUUCUCUGCUGAUUGUAGACAAAGCGUAGAUGACAAGUGUAGUAUAGAUGCCUAACUUCAUGUGCCACUAUGGCACAUACACUGUGUAGAAACCUAAUUAACUUCAGAUUUAAUCCUACAGAGAUUGUGGUCACUGUUUUUCUAGAUCAUCUUGAAACCAACCCAACCUUUCCCCUGACCUGAUAGCAUAAACAGUGGGAAGACUUCAGCCCAAGAUAUUUUCACUAUAAAUUCAAAUUUAGAGGGAGGGAAUAUGUCUUAAUGAAUGAAACAUCAUAUCAUCAAAGCUGAUCUAUUUUCAAGUGAAAUAGCAGCAACAACUAUGAUUUACUUUAGGAAAAUGUCUUGAGAUCCUGAAAAAGGGCAGGGACACAUGGUACUUGUAUACAUAUGUUGUCCAUUCAUGUCAUAAAAGACUUCCAGCAAAAAGCCAUUAGGUAUAAUUCAACAGAAUUACUUGUUUUUAACAGUUCAUGCCAAAAUAUUAGACUGUUCAAGUAGCUACGUAAUCCAAAUGGGGAAACUUAGGGAAGC